GAUCAUGGCUCAGGAUGAACGCUAGCUACAGGCUUAACACAUGCAAGUCGCGGGGCAGCAUGAAGGAUGCUUGCAUCUUUUGAUGGCGACCGGCGCACGGGUGAGUAACGCGUAUCCAACCUGCCUGUUACCACGGCACAGCCCGUCGAAAGGCGGAUUAAUGCCGUAUGUGGUCCUUUGCGGGCAUCUAAUUAGGACUAAAGGUUCGGCGGUAACGGAUGGGGAUGCGUCCGGAUUAG
rnacentral:rRNA from 1 species